GGCGAACGCUGGCGGCGUGCUUAACACAUGCAAGUCGAACGGAAAGGCCCUGCUUUUGUGGGGUGCUCGAGUGGCGAACGGGUGAGUAACACGUGAGUAACCUGCCCUUGACUUUGGGAUAACUUCAGGAAACUGGGGCUAAUACCGGAUAGGAGCUCCUGCUGCAUGGUGGGGGUUGGAAAGUUUCGGCGGUUGGGGAUGGACUCGCGGCUUAUCAGCUUGUUGGUGGGGUAGUGGCUUACCAAGGCUUUGACGGGUAGCCGGCCUGAGAGGGUGACCGGCCACAUUGGGACUGAGAUACGGCCCAGACUCCUACGGGAGGCAGCAGUGGGGAAUAUUGCACAAUGGGCGGAAGCCUGAUGCAGCAAUGCCGCGUGCGGGAUGACGGCCUUCGGGUUGUAAACCGCUUUCGCCUGUGACGAAGCGUGAGUGACGGUAAUGGGUAAAGAAGCACCGGCUAACUACGUG
rnacentral:rRNA from 1 species